rnacentral:rRNA from 1 species
UACGAAGGGGGCUAGCGUUGUUCGGAAUUACUGGGCGUAAAGCGCGCGCAGGCGGUUUCUCAAGUCAGUGGUGAAAGCCCGGAGCUCAACUCCGGAACUGCCAUUGAAACUGUGAAACUUGAGGACGAGAGAGGUGAGUGGAAUUCCCAGUGUAGAGGUGAAAUUCGUAGAUAUUGGGAGGAACACCAGUGGCGAAGGCGGCUCACUGGACCGGUACUGACGCUGAUGCGCGAAAGCGUGGGGAGCAAACGGGG